rnacentral:rRNA from 1 species
UACGAAGGGGGCUAGCGUUGUUCGGAAUUACUGGGCGUAAAGCGCACGUAGGCGGAUAUUUAAGUCAGGGGUGAAAUCCCAGAGCUCAACUCUGGAACUGCCUUUGAUACUGGGUAUCUGGAGUAUGGAAGAGGUGAGUGGAAUUCCGAGUGUAGAGGUGAAAUUCGUAGAUAUUCGGAGGAACACCAGUGGCGAAGGCGACUUACUGGACACAUAUUGACGCUGAGGUGCGAAAGCGUGGGGAGCAAACAGG